rnacentral:lncRNA from 1 species
CAUUCAGAAACUAUCAGCCCUGGUGACCUGUCACGCUAGGUUAUUUGCGAACACUUUGCAUGCCUUGUUUGUGGGCAUGGGAAGGCGGCUUUUACUUGCAGGCCACAUGUAAUUGCACCCUUAUCUGGAUUCAACUCUGUAGUGAUGAUACCAUCAGUGUGAAGCUCCCGACCAGAUGUGAGGAGACAAGGAAAUCACACAAUGAAGGUAUUACACCGAGAACAUUCCCAAUACCUUACAUUCCUAGCCAUGUAGGUGUAGACCUCAUAUUGACCUGGAUGUUGGGGAUGGGAAUCUAGUGGUGCAUGCCACCGAAAAGAGAAACUAUGUAGGGUGUAUAUCAAGGAGAGCUCCAUGGAGGCCUUUAUUUUUUAAAAAUUCAAAUUCAAAUUUUUAUGGUUCAAAAAAUUCUGAAAAAAAAU